UACAGAGGUGGCAAGCGUUGUUCGGAAUUACUGGGCGUAAAGGGCGCGUAGGCGGUUGCCUAAGUCGGACGUGAAAUCCCCAAGCUUAACUUGGGAACUGCAUCUGAUACUGGGUGACUUGAGUUCGGGAGAGGAAUGCGGAAUUCCAGGUGUAGCGGUGAAAUGCGUAGAUAUCUGGAGGAACACCGGUGGCGAAGGCGGCAUCCUGGACCAACACUGACGCUGAGGAGCGAAAGCCAGGGGAGCAAACGGG
rnacentral:rRNA from 1 species